rnacentral:rRNA from 1 species
GACGAACGCUGGCGGCGUGCUUAACACAUGCAAGUCGAACGAAGUGGCGAACGGGUGAGUAAUACGUGUGUAACCUGCCCUCCUUUUUGGGAUAAGCCUUGGAAACGGGGUCUAAUACCGAAUAACGGGGGAGGGGCUCGCGGCCUAUCAGCUUGUUGGUGGGGUGAUGGCCUACCAAGGCGGUGACGGGUAGCCGGGCUGAGAGGGUGAACUGAGACAUUGGGACUGAGAUACGGCCCAUGAUCGUAAGGGGGGGGGAAGUGGGGGCAAUUGGACCAAGGGCGAAAGACUGAUGCAGCGUAGGCGCGUGGGGGAGGAAGGCUUUCGGGUUGUUAAACCCGUUAGGUAUGGAAAGGGUAGGUGGAGAAGAAGCGCCGGCUAACUACGUGCCAGCAGCCGCGGUAAUUC